rnacentral:rRNA from 1 species
AUAAUCAUUUGCCCCCUAAUUAGGGGCUAGCAUGAACGGAUAAACGAGAUUAUGACUGUCUCCUUUAUACCUAUAAAAAUUAAUCUACAGGUGAAGAAGCCUGUUUUUAUAUAAAAGACAAGAAGACCCUGCUGAGCUUUAAUUAUUUAUAAAAUUCAUCAAUACCUAUCAAAUAAUUCCUCUUAUAAAUAAUUUUUGUUGGGGCGACAAUGGAGCACACAAACCCUCCACCAUACCUAAAACACCAAGUUUCCCAAAAGAUCCUCUAUAGAUAUUAGGCACUAGCUACCACAGGGAUAACAGACUAAUCUUCCUUAA